UGGGGAAUCUUCCGCAAUGGACGAAAGUCUGACGGAGCAACGCCGCGUGAGUGAUGACGGCCUUCGGGUUGUAAAGCUCUGUUAAUCGGGACGAAUGGUUCUUGUGCGAAUAGUGCAAGGAUUUGACGGUACCGGAAUAGAAAGCCACGGCUAACUACGUGCCAGCAGCCGCGGUAAUACGUAGGUGGCAAGCGUUGUCCGGAAUUAUUGGGCGUAAAGCGCGCGCAGGCGGAUUGGUCAGUCUGUCUUAAAAGUUCGGGGCUUAACCCCGUGAUGGGAUGGAAACUGCCAAUCUAGAGUAUCGGAGAGGAAAGUGGAAUUCCUAGUGUAGCGGUGAAAUGCGUAGAUAUUAGGAAGAACACCAGUGGCGAAGGCGACUUUCUGGACGAAAACUGACGCUGAGGCGCGGAAGCCAGGGGAGCGAACGGG
rnacentral:rRNA from 1 species